AGUGAACGCUGGCGGUAGGCCUAACACAUGCAAGUCGAACGGCAGCACAGUAAGAGCUUGCUCUUACGGGUGGCGAGUGGCGGACGGGUGAGGAAUACAUCGGAAUCUACUUUUUCGUGGGGGAUAACGUAGGGAAACUUACGCUAAUACCGCAUACGACCUACGGGUGAAAGCAGGGGAUCUUCGUACCUUGCGCGAAUGAAUGAGCCGAUGUCGGAUUAGCUAGUUGGCGGGGUAAAGGCCCACCAAGGCGACGAUCCGUAGCUGGUCUGAGAGGAUGAUCAGCCACACUGGAACUGGGAAACGGUCCAGCCUCCUACGGGAGGCAGCAGUGGGGAAUAUUGGACAAUGGGCGCAAGCCUGAUCCAGACAUACCGCGUGGGUGAAGAAGGCCUUCGGGUUGUAAAGCCCUUUUGUUGGGAAAGAAAAGCAGCAGGUUAAUACCCCGCUGUUCUGACGGUACCCAAAGAAUAAGCACCGGCUAACUUCGUG
rnacentral:rRNA from 1 species